rnacentral:rRNA from 1 species
CAAGUCGAACGCGAAAGUCCCCUUCGGGGGAUAAGUAGAGUGGCGCACGGGUGAGUAACACGUAGGUAAUCUACCUUCGGGUGGGGAAUAACCCAGGGAAACUUGGGCUAACACCGCAUAAUGCAGCGGCACCACAUGGUGACAGUUGUUAAAGCGGGGGAUUUUCGGACCUCGCGCCUGAAGAGGAGCCUGCGGCAGAUUAGCUAGUUGGUAAGGUAACGGCUUACCAAGGCGACGAUCUGUAGCCGGCCUGAGAGGGCGGUCGGCCACACUGACACUGACAUACGGGUCAGACUCCUACGGGAGGCAGCAGUCGGGAAUUUUGGGCAAUGGGCGAAAGCCUGACCCAGCAACGCCGCGUGAAGGAUGAAAUCCCUCGGGAUGUAAACUUCGCAAGAAUGGGAAGAAUUAGUAGGGGUUAAUACCCCCUAUGAUGACGGUACCAUUUGUAAGCUCCGGCUAACUCCGUGCCAGCAGCCGCGGUAAUACGGGGGGAGCAAGCGUUGUUCGGAUUUACUGGGCGUAAAGGGCGCGUAGGCGGCCAGCACAAGUCGGUUGUGAAAUCUCCGGGCUUAACUCGGAAAGGUCAACCGAUACUGUGCGGCUAGAGUGCGGAAGGGGCAACUGGAAUUCUCGGUGUAGCGGUGAAAUGCGUAGAUAUCGAGAGGAACACCUGCGGCGAAGGCGGGUUGCUGGGCCGACACUGACGCUGAUGCGCGAAAGCCAGGGGAGCGAACGGGAUUAGAUACCCCGGUAGUCCUGGCCUUAAACGAUGGAUGCUUGGUGUCUGGAGUUUUAUAGUCUCC